AUUUUUCUAUGUUUAAUCGCAAUAUCUAUGACGAUGAAUUUUUCUUCAUCACGUUUUCAUGAUGAUGUUAUGUGAUGUUCGAUAAUAGUUGGCUCGGAUGCACACACGGCACAAUAUAAGAUUAUUCUCGCAUCUCGUAUUUGUGUUUUCCUUUUGAAAAUUUCUUUCAAUUUCAUUAACAAAAAUAACGAAGAGAAUAUAGAAAAAAGAAUAAUAAAAAUUAGUAUUAAAAAUAAAAUUCGUGUAUUUAAAAAAAAAAAAAGAAAUAUGUUAAGUAUAAAGAUAUAAAAAAUAAGAUGGAAAACAAGAAGAAUUGCAAAUAAAAACUUUACAAAAAAUAAGAGAAAAAUUUAAAGAAAAUAGGAAUUUAUUUUGAAAAUAAAAACCUACAGAGUGUCAUAGAACUAUUGAAACACAUCAAAUCGAACAAGAAAAUUUUAUAGAGCUAGAUUAUUUUAAUAAUCUUUGGCAAUUAUAUACUCUAAAAUGACUCCCUCGAUCAAAAUUAUCUAUUUGAAACCGAAAAGUUUAAUGCAUCAUAGCUCCUUUAAAAGUUGAUACACUCCAAAAAUUAUUAAGGUUUGAAUAGAAAUUUCAAUUUGAAAAUCAAGUAAUUUGACACAAAAUGUGUUGCUAUUCCACGUUAAAUAGAUUUAAACGGAACACCUGAAUUUUCAUAAGUUGGCCAUUUAGAUCGAUAAAGAAUAUUUGAUAUUUGUUUUUGUACACAGCAACUCAUAUGAACCGCCAAUUUUGAGUUAUAUUUUUACUUGAAUUGGAUUGGACAUGAAUACAUAAGUGCUUGGAGUUCUCAUGUAUGUUUAAAGAUACCCAUACUUUAAAUGCAGGAGGGUAGUAAGAUAGAGGCUGUUUUACGAAAUAACCAUGUCAAGGACUUAUUGUUCUAUAAUAUAAAAGAUUCAAUUAUACCCAUGGGAAAAACCUGGUAAUAAUGAGAGAACGAAGAUGUAAUAUAAUUUUUUUUUUUUGGUUCAUCAUCAACUAGCUAUGUACUAGGAUAUUUUAAUAAUCUGAAAUUGGAAAUUGAUUUUAUGAAGGAAGGAAAUAUCAGAUACUCGAUGGUUCAAUGUUAAUAAAAUUAAAAAGCUGCCUUUGUCAAACCUAUUUGCAACAAUAAUUAUUAUGGGUUGUUAUAUUGACUUAAUUAAUAGUGUCGUGUCAAAACAUAACACUAAUGAAUAUAAAUAUUUUCUUUAACAUCAAAUUGUAUUUAAAUUAAAAUUUCAAGAAUAUUAAUAUUCUGUAUGUAUGUGCAAUAUAACAUUUA